UGCGUAGGCGUCCAGGAAAGUUAUUUGUUAAAGCCUCCGGCUUAACCGGAGAGAUGCAAGUAAAACUAUCUGGAUAGAGUUUAAGAGAGGAAAAUGGAAUUCCUGGUGUAGCGGUGACAUGCGUAGAUAUCAGGAGGAACAUCGAUAGCGAAGGCAGUUUUCUGGCUUAAAACUGACGCUGAGGCACGAAAGCGUGGGGAGCAAACAGGAUUAGAUACCCUGGUAGUCC
rnacentral:rRNA from 1 species